rnacentral:rRNA from 1 species
AUGUUUACUGGAAGGAGCCCAAUGGAAGGCACGUUCAGAGAUUCAUUGGGUCUGCAUAGUUUUGUCGAGGAUGCUCUUCCAAGUAGAACCUUGGAGAUAGCUGACCCAACGAUAUGGUUGCACAGCAAACAACAUGAUAACAUUAUAAAUAUUAGAAUCCAGGAGUGCUUGGUUUUAGUUUUCAAGCUUGGCUUAUCCUGCUCCAAGGCAGGACCUCGAAACCGAGCACUGACGAGAGAUAUAGCAGCGCAGAUGCAUGCAAUCAGAAAUGCGUACCUCAAGUCUAUGGGGGAGCAUGGAGCAGAAAGAGAAGCCUCGACUCAAGAAAUCAAACACAACGUUGAAUAA